GGUGGAGGGGCAGUACUCCCUGCCCAAGGUCACGACCUUGUGUCCAGACGGUUCAUGUAUUCCUGCAAGGCCUUCAGGCGGGCGUCUAUUUCCGCCAUGUCCGCUGCCUGGUGGUCCGAGCUGUACUCUGUGAGCGCAGGGUCUGGGGAAAGACACUCACCGUAUUGGACCCACUCCAGGUUGUGGGGCUGGGAGGCUUCCCGCGGCGAACGCUGACAGGAGAAGGUAAUCAAGGACCGACCCGAGAAGCCUCCGGCACCUCCCACCUCGCCCUCCCAACGUGGUUUCAAGGCUCCAGCCUCCAUCACCCAAUUUCCCUGCAAAAGCCUCUUUCCAGCCUCCCCAGACACCCGUUUGGAGGCGGUCUCUUCCCCCAGCCCAAGUUUUACCCUCUAGGGAGGGAUUCAGAGAAAUCCUCCAACUCGCUGCAGGAGCUGGCGGACGAGCAGCGGCUGCGGAGACUGUCCACUAGAGGGAGAAAGAGAGCGUAAGUCUCCGGCGCUCGCCCGGGGCGCCCAGCCCGCCUCCCGGCCCCGCGCUCUGCCGCCCAGUUACCCGAGGAGCUGCGGUGUCGCGAGCGGUUGGCCGCGUCCCCUCGGCCGGUCACGGCGGCGGGCGGCCGAGUCUGGCGCGACCAGGAGACGGACGGCCCGUCGCCGCUUCCUCCGCUGCCCCGUCGGUUCCGCUGCUGCUGCUGCCUGCGGAACCGCAAAGGAGACGCUCACCCGGCCGCCCAACUAGUGCCAGGAAAGGCGUCGCUGCGCCCCUACGGGUCGCAGCCGGGGCCAGUGACUCCGUUGAGGUCACGCGGCCUACGUAAGGAAGAGGCACGCGGACACGCAGACCAGGUGGUGGUGGGAGACAAGGAAGCAGGGCGGGUGGGGGGAAGGGUCAGGAGCGGAGGUGGAGUUCAGGUGCAAAGCAGGAGCAGGAAGGGGAGAGACGGAGCAGGUGACAGGUGAUGGGAGACCGCGAUGGAUGAGGGUACAGGCCAGCGGGCCAGUAAAGGACCAGGGAUAUGGGCAGAUAAAGAGGAAAUGUGCGCUAACUUCAUCUUGAUCUCUCUCUGCUUCUUCUCCUUGGCUUUCACAAAGGCCGUGGGGUCGAAACGGGGCACGCGACCACCUAGGAUGGGGUGGGAGAGUGUGCAGAGAAGAGGCUGGGGUCACAGGAUCACGCCUCCACAGCUCUAGUCCAUUCCCCCUCCUCCCACAGGCAGGGCAGGGCAGGGCCUGGCCGGCACAGACCUGUGGGUGAAGGCGAGGGGCGGACGGGGCGGCCUCGACCCCGGCUCCCCCGACCGCUCUCCCGGGAAGAAGAGCGGGCGGCACCGCGACCACGAGAUGUGGAGCGCUCCCGCGACGACGAAGCCCGAUCCUCCCGCACCCGGGGCGGCACCACCGGCGGAGUCUGUCUCCUGGGAGCGCAGGACCCACUGUCAGUUUCCCGCCGGCCAGCUCCUAUCUCAACUCCUAUCUCAAGCCUCUUCUCGGAUCACACCAUCUCCGAACUUUCUGGUCCAUCCCACCAUCAACUCCCAGACAUUCACGCCCUUGCACACGACCCUCACAGACACCUUACCUUGUCCCAGGCUCCCGCCCCUCUCGAAGCCCCAGAAAGCGCCCCAGAAGAACCCGUCUGUCACUUCCCUGCAUCCUAACAAACCCCCUUCUCCGGGACCCUUCUUCCUGAGCUCUCCCACCGCUCCCUAGAAAUCCUUUCCAAAAUUCCGUCACCCACCGCAAUAAGUAACAGCAGACAUCAACCAGAUCCCCACCAGCGGGGCCACAACCUUUCACCGUGUGGCCACGCCCUUUCGCUCUACGGGAUAGCCUCAGGGCCCACCCCUUCCGAAUCUCCAGGCCCAGCCUCCUGACACACGCUUCAAGCCCUGCCCAUCUCCCCACAGACUCCGCCCACCACGUCUAACUCAGCCCCACGCGGUCCAUUAGAUUCCUCCCACCGCUCCGUCCCCGCCCACUCUCAGCCGCCCCACUCAGGCCCCGCCCACACGCCCUGGGCCCCGCCCUCCCCCCCGACUCCACACCUCCUCCCCAGGCUCCGCCCGUCCAGGCCUAAGCACCCCAGCAGCCCCAUCCCAGAUCCAAGACCCCGCCCACCCCAGACCGCGCCCCUCACCCCCUCUUGUACACCGCCAGCUCGCUGUUCACGGUCCUCAGCCGGGCGCGCAGGCUACGCUCCGACGCCUUCACCUCCUCCAGCUGCCGGGGGAGAACAGGGGCGCAAGGGCCCAGACUGAGGCCGAGGUCCACGCCCCAGCGGCCACCCCCGGCCCGCCGGCCGCCCCGCCGGCCGCCCCGCCCCCUCACCUCCUUGGCCAGGCGCCGGCAAUCCUGGCUGCGGCGGCCGACCCCGCGGUGUCCGAGGCCCCGCUCUUGCCGAAGCUCCAGCUCCAGGCCGCGGACGAGCCCACGCAGCGCCUCAGCCUCCUGGCGCGCCGCCCUCCCGGCCAGAGCCUCCUCUCGAGAUCGGCCCAGCUGGGCCUCCAGCUCGCGCUUCUCCGAUGCCAGGCGUGAAACCCUGGGGGAAGAGGGUAGAGGGAGGACGACAGAGUUGGGAGGGAGGGCGUGCACGAUCCUAUCAUCCUCACUUCUCCAUGCGUGCGGGCACGAACCAUUUCACCUGCUCCAGGAACCGGGAAUGCAGCCCCACCACCCCAGCCGCCCCCAUGGCCCCGUAGUCUCUCUUCCCACGGGAGGAGGAACAUGGCCAUCCAUCCCGCGGCGAGGACACAGCCCUGUGAGAUCUAAUUCCAAAAUAAGUCAUCAAUCUGCCCUUCUCUGUGCCCUGAAAGCCUAGCCCUGAGUUCCUGGACUUACAUGGUCUCCCACGCCCCCACCCCUGGCCUCCCAGCCAUCACGGCCUCCUAUUCACCAGAAGAUUCUUUGUAAAAUGCAAAUCCGAUCAGGUCACUACUGUGCUCAAAACCUUCCUUGAGAAAAAGAUGUACACACAAGGCUAUUCAUUGCAGCACUAUUUCUUUUUCAAGUUUAUUUAUUUUUGAGAGAGACAGAGACAGCGGGAGCAGGGGAGGGCCAGAGAGAGACAGGGAGAGAGAGAGAGAAUCCCAAACGGAUUCCUCGCUGUCAGUGCAGAGCCGGGGGUGGGGCUCGAACCCACGGUUGGAACCCAGGAAACCUCGAGCUCAUGACCUGAGCCAAAAUGGAAAGUCCAACACUUAACUGACCGAACCACCAGGGGCCCCAGCACUAUUUUGUAAUGUUUAUUUAUUUAUUUUGACGGGGGGGGGGGGGGGCAGAGGGGCAGAGAGAGAGGUAGAGAGAGAAUCCCAAGCAACUUCCGUGCUGUCAGUGUAGAGCCGGAAGGGGAACUCUAUCUCACCAACCUUGAGAUCAUUACCUGAGCAGAAAUCAAGAGUCGGAGGCUUAGCCGACAGAGCCACCCAGGCGCCCUGCAGCCCUAUUUAUAAUAGCAAAAGAGUAGAAAUAACCAAAAUGUAUACCAACAGAAAGUAAGCUGAAUUUCUAUGAUACAGCCAUUGAACUGAGUACCACACAACUAGAAAAAGGAAGGAGAAAGAGCUCUAUAUCCUGUCGCCAAGUGAUGGCCAGGAUAGAAGUUUAAAAACAGGGCUGAACGAUGUUUAAUACAUCUCUUCAUGCAAAAGAAAAGAGGGGAAUUAUAAAUCAUAUUAUGUUCAUAUUUUCAAAAAUAUGUGAGGAUAAAUCAAAACUUAAAAAAAAUAGCUUACCUAUCAGGGAGAAACCAGUGGCAACAGGGACACAAGUUGGACCCCACUAAAUGUACCUUCUUAGGUAACCUCCAUGCCCAAUAUGGGGCUUGAAGUCAAGACCCUGAGACCAAGAGUCGCAUGCCCUACUGACUGAGCCAGCCAGGUACCCCCCUACCUUCUUUUUCAGUUCUGACUUCGGAACUCUGAAAAUAUUGUAUUUAAAUAAAUUUUAAGAAGUCAACCCCUAAAACUUUUAUUUUUUUGAAUGUUUAUUUAUUUUUGCCAGAGAGAGGGAGACAGAGCAUGAGCAGGGGAGGGGCAGAGAGAGAGAGGGAGACACAGAAUCCGAAGCAGGCUCCAGGCUCAUGACCCAUCAGCACAGAGCCCGACGCGGGGCUCGAACUCACAGACUGCGAGAUCAUGACCUGAGCCCAAGUCGGACGCCCAACCGACUGAGCCACCCAGGUGCCCCAACCCCUACAACUUUUAAAAGAAACUCGCUCAAAUAGAUCUAACUGGGUAUAAAGUUGGUGGCAUAUUGGAGAAUUAUGUCAAGUGGCAAAAACAAAACAAAAAUAACGUGGGGUCCCCGGGUGGCUGUCAGUUAAGCGUCCGACUUCGGCUCAGGUCAUGACCUCACGGUUCAUGGGAGGCUGCUUCGGCUUCUCUGUCUCCUUCUCUCUCUGCCCCUCCCCCGCUCGUGCUCUGUCUCUCAAUAAUAAAUAAAUGUUAAAA